CUGAUUCACCGCGCAGUUAGUCUCACGUGCUACAACCUACCUCCUUUGAAACAACGUGUUUGUUAUGACUGAAUUUUAUCGAAAAAACGUAACAUAAACCGAGCCAAUGAAAAAUGGAGGACCUGCACCUUGUGCUGUAUAUUUUGGGGCAGAAAACAAAUACACGAGAAAGACAUUUGGAUUAAAAAUAAUCAUAAUCAGUGGACCACCUGGCUGUUGGGAAUGCUGUUUGAUACUGAGGGCAUUUUGCGUUGAUUUCGCCUGGAGCUUGGGCCAAGCAAACUGGCAAUAUAGAAAAAAUUGGCACACAGAUGAUGAACUUACCUUGACGGAGAAGACGGAGAGAGCUGCAAGUCCGAGACAACAGGGGUUUGAGUCAGACAGAGGGACCAGAUGAUGUGGUUAUUGGGGGUGGCUCAAUGGGAACAUUCACAGUGAUGUCCAGGAGGCCCAUCAUACCUCUCCAUCUGCAAUGGGACAGCGUCAGCUGGGUAACCCCCAGGAUUCAUUCACUGCAAUAAAGAGGAAUUGGUAGACAAAUGAUGAACUCACCUUGAUAGAGUGGAUGAGAGCUGCCAGUCCGAGGCAGCAGGGGUUCAAGUGGACAAAGCUGAAGAGGGACCAAAUGAUGUGGUCUUUGGGGGGCUCAAUGGG